rnacentral:rRNA from 1 species
UACGAAGGGUCCUAGCGUUGUCCGGAUUUACUGGGCUUAAAGGGCGCGUAGGCGGACUAUUAAGUCAGUGGUGAAAGCCGGUAGCUUAACUAUCGAAUUGCCAUUGAAACUGAUAGUCUCGAGUAUAGUUGAGGUAGUUGGAAUGUAUCAUGUAGCGGUGAAAUGCUUAGAUAUGAUACAGAACACCGAUUGCGAAGGCAGAUUACUAAACUAUAACUGACGCUGAGGCACGAAAGCGUGGGGAGCAAACAGG